rnacentral:misc_RNA from 1 species
GAAAUGCGAUAAGUAAUGUGAAUUGCAGAAUUCAGUGAAUCAUCGAAUCUUUGAACGCACAUUGCGCCCGCCAGUAUUCUGGCGGGCAUGCCUGUUCGAGCGUCAUUUCAACCAUCAAGCCCCGGGCUUGUGUUGGGGACCUGCGGCUGCCGCAGGCCCUGAAAACCAGUGGCGGGCUCGCUGUCACACCGAGCGUAGUAGAUUUUUCGUCUCGCCCAGGGCGUGCUGCGGGUUCCGGCCGUUAAAAAGCCUCUCUUUUUAACCCAAGGUUGACCUCGGAUCAGGUAGGAAGACCCGCUGAACUUAAGC